GGAUUAGAUACCCUGGUAGUCCACGCCGUAAACGAUGUCUACUAGUUGUCGGUUGUCUUGUACGACGGGUAACGCAGCUAACGCGAUAAGUAGACCGCCUGGGGAGUACGGCCGCAAGGUUAAAACUCAAAUGAAUUGACGGGGGCCCGCACAAGCGGUGGAGCAUGUGGUUUAAUUCGAAGCAACGCGAAGAACCUUACCUGGCCUUGACAUCCUGCGAAUCUCUUGGAGACAAGAGAGUGCCUUCGGGAACGCAGAGACAGGUGCUGCAUGGCUGUCGUCAGCUCGUGCCG
rnacentral:rRNA from 1 species